GCCCAGGUGGCUCAGUCAGUUGAGCAUCUGACUUUGGCUCAGGUCAUGAUCUCACAGUUCGUGAGUUUGAGCCCCACAUUGGGCU
rnacentral:tRNA from 1 species